UCUGACGCUGAGUUGUUUUGAGACUCAUUGGUGAAGACCAAAAUAUUGAGUUUUAUAUGCGCUCUGGUCACAGGUCUUAUUCUUCAUACCCUGAAUCUGUAUAUUUUGGGUGGUGGGUGGUGUGUAUUCAUGCUCAUGUACUUGGACUGCGAGAUUUGCUGUACCCGUAGAGGCAACAAAUCUAAUAGUGAUAGUGCUGAGUUUGUGGAAACGGUAUAAUGAAGUAGGUCACCAUAUUAUUCUUUUACCAUGAUGUACUAAAAACAUCAUGGCGCCAUUAUUCAUCUAGGAGAUCUUGAUAUUUUCUCCCUUGUGACAUGUAACCCGCAAUUAAUUUGAAACUGUGCUGCCUGAGUACUUAUUGAUCCGAAAGUAGCCAUUUGUACAAUUUUAUUAGUGGUCAUCUUUAUGCCUUAAUAACGAACUGUCCAGUGCAUACGAUGAUAGUUAAUUUGUUGAAAUAUUACAGUCAAUAUGCCAACCUGGGGCAUGAUGUUUUUCUUUUGAGUUAUUGUUCGCUGCUUGUUCCUCAUUUGGUCAGUAGGCUGGCACAUUUCAGCAGACAUCAAGUUUCAUAGGUUGUGUUUGGAUGGGUAGCAAAGGGUCUAGCCAGGGUUAGCUAAUGCAGGUUCGGUCUGUUUGGUUGCCUGUAGAGGCAUGCUAGCCAGGCUUACCUAAUGCAAAAGACGUCCCUUGGCCUGGCUUCUGGCUUCAGUAGUACCCGAAAAUCGACCAUUGUAGCUAAGACGGGCUUGUACUAGCCAAGCUGAUGCAUCCCCUCACCUUCCUCCCGCUGUUCCGCUUUGCACCUCCGCCGCUACAAGUUUGCAAGGUUGUCCACGGGCAUCAGAUCGAAGACCCUGCCGGCACAUGGAGGAGACUCCGGGAAGGUCGAGGCUCGAGACUCCUGGGACGACGCCGUCGUCGCCGAUGGGGGCGCAGGGCUGGCCGCGGGCGCCUCCCCUUUUUGAUCUCGCCUACGAAGUUCCAUCCUCGAUUGGAGGGAAGUAAGAACGGAGUACGGAGGAGUCAAAUCCAUCAAGUACACGGUUGAGCGCAGGCUCCGCGCGAGCUGGUGGCCGAUGCCGCCGUCGUUGCUGCGGGAGACUGAGAGCCUAGAUCAUGUUUGUUUGUUCCUCUUUGGAUUUUGAGGAAGCCUCUUCCUUUUGCUUGCUUGCCCCUCCGUGAGUUUACAGUGAUUCAACGGCCUGCUUGCUCCUCCAUGAGUUCACACUGGUUCAGCGGAUAACCUGUUCGUCAAAAUGUGCUUCCGACGAGAACUGUUGAAGUAUUCAUAUGAUUCAGAUUUAUUCUACAGAAAGAAGAGAUGAUUU